GUCAGAAUGGCUGAGUGGUCUAAGGCUCCAGAUUUAAGUUCUGGUUCUCGAAAGAGGGCAGGGUUUUGGACCCCAUUUCCGACA